UCACUCUUGUUUCUCUUCAAUUCGUAUAAAUCUUUCGCCUUUUACUAAAGAUUUCCGUGUGGAGAAACAACAAGAGUACAAUUACAAUUUUUAAAAGUCCUCUGACGCAGGGCUU